rnacentral:rRNA from 1 species
AGCGUUCUAAGGGCGUUGAAGCAUGAUCGUAAGGACAUGUGGAGCGCUUAGAAGUGAGAAUGCCGGUGUGAGUAGCGAAAGACGGGUGAGAAUCCCGUCCACCGAUUGACUAAGGUUUCCAGAGGAAGGCUCGUCCGCUCUGGGUUAGUCGGGUCCUAAGCUGAGGCCGACAGGCGUAGGCGAUGGAUAACAGGUUGAUAUUCCUGUACCACCUAUAAUCGUUUUAAUCGAUGGGGGGACGCAGUAGGAUAGGCGAAGCGUGCGAUUGGAUUGCACGUCUAAGCAGUAAGGCUGAGUAUUAGGCAAAUCCGGUACUCGUUAAGGCUGAGCUGUGAUGGGGAGAAGACAUUGAGUCUUCGAGUCGUUGAUUUCACACUGCCGAGAAAAGCCUCUAGAUAGAAAAUAGGUGCCCGUACCGCAAACCGACACAGGUAGUCAAGAUGAGAAUUCUAAGGUGAGCGAGCGAACUCUCGUUAAGGAACUCGGCAAAAUGACCCCGUAACUUCGGGAGAAGGGGUGCUCUUUAGGGUUAACGCCCAGAAGAGCCGCAGUGAAUAGGCCCAAGCGACUGUUUAUCAAAAACACAGGUCUCUGCUAAACCGUAAGGUGAUGUAUAGGGGCUGACGCCUGCCCGGUGCUGGAAGGUUAAGAGGAGUGGUUAGCUUCUGCGAAGCUACGAAUCGAAGCCCCAGUAAACGGCGGCCGUAACUAUAACGGUCCUAAGGUAGCGAAAUUCCUUGUCGGGUAAGUUCCGACCCGCACGAAAGGCGUAACGAUUUGGGCACUGUCUCAACGAGAGACUCGGUGAAAUCAUAGUACCUGUGAAGAUGCAGGUUACCCGCGACAGGACGGAAAGACCCCGUGGAGCUUUACUGUAGCCUGAUAUUGAAAUUCGGCACAGCUUGUACAGGAUAGGUAGGAGCCUUUGAAACGUGAGCGCUAGCUUACGUGGAGGCGCUGGUGGGAUACUACCCUAGCUGUGUUGGCUUUCUAACCCGCACCACUUAUCGUGGUGGGAGACAGUGUCAAGCGGGCAGUUUGACUGGGGCGGUCGCCUCCUAAAAGGUAACGGAGGCGCUCAAAGGUUCCCUCAGAAUGGUUGGAAAUCAUUCAUAGAGUGUAAAGGCAUAAGGGAGCUUGACUGCGAGACCUACAAGUCGAGCAGGGUCGAAAGACGGACUUAGUGAUCCGGUGGUUCCGCAUGGAAGGGCCAUCGCUCAACGGAUAAAAGCUACCCCGGGGAUAACAGGCUUAUCUCCCCCAAGAGUUCACAUCGACGGGGAGGUUUGGCACCUCGAUGUCGGCUCAUCGCAUCCUGGGGCUGUAGUCGGUCCCAAGGGUUGGGCUGUUCGCCCAUUAAAGCGGUACGCGAGCUGGGUUCAGAACGUCGUGAGACAGUUCGGUCCCUAUCCGUCGUGGGCGUAGGAAAUUUGAGAGGAGCUGUCCUUAGUACGAGAGGACCGGGAUGGACAUACCUCUGGUGUACCAGUUGUCGUGCCAACGGCAUAGCUGGGUAGCUAUGUGUGGACGGGAUAAGUGCUGAAAGCAUCUAAGCAUGAAGCCCCCCUCAAGAUGAGAUUUCCCAACUUCGGUUAUAAGAUCCCUCAAAGAUGAUGAGGUUAAUAGGUUCGAGGUGGAAGCAUGGUGACAUGUGGAGCUGACGAAUACUAAUCGAUCGAAGACUUAAUCAA